GUGAGGAAUAUUGGGCAAUGGGCGAAAGCCUGACCCAGCCACGCCGCGUGAGUGAUGAAGGCCUUCGGGUUGUAAAGCUCUGUGGGGAGGGAAGAAAAAGCGGGAGAGUAACUGCUCUCGUGUUGACGGUACCUCCUUAGCAAGCACCGGCUAACUCUGUGCCAGCAGCCGCGGUAAUACAGAGGGUGCAAACGUUGCUCGGAAUUACUGGGCGUAAAGCGCGUGUAGGCUGACAUGCAAGUCGGGUGUGAAAUCCCAGGGCUCAACCUUGGAACUGCACUCGAAACUGCACGUCUUGAGUACUGGAGAGGGAAGCGGAAUUCCGGGUGUAGAGGUGAAAUUCGUAGAUAUCCGGAGGAACACCAGUGGCGAAGGCGGCUUCCUGGACAGUAACUGACGCUGAGACGCGAAAGCGUGGGGAGCAAACAGGAUUAGAAACCCGAGUAGUCC
rnacentral:rRNA from 1 species